rnacentral:rRNA from 1 species
GCCAAACAGCUAGCUCAACCACCAAAACCCACACCACAAUAUUUAUAAGUUUUACAAAACCUAAAUUUGAAUAAUUAAACCAUUCUCCUGCCUUAGUACGGGCGACAGAAAAGGCACUAGAAGCAAUAGAACAAGUACCGCAAGGGAAAGCUGAAAGAGAAAUGAAAUAACCCAUUUAAGCCUAGAAAAGCAGAGAUUUAUACUCGUACCUUUUGCAUCAUGAUUUAGCUAGAACCUCAGAGCAAAGAGAAUUUUUAGUUCUUACCCCCGAAACCAAGUGAGCUACCCCGAGACAGCUGAUAUAUUAGAGCCAACCCGUCUCUGUGGCAAAAGAGUGGGAAGAUCUCCGGGUAGCGGUGACAGACCUAUCGAACUUGGUGAUAGCUGGUUGCCUAAGAAAUGGAUAUAAGUUCAGCCUCGUAUUCCUCCUCCCACAAGCACUAAUGCCCUAUGGAAUGAAGAAAAUAACGAGAGUUAUUCAAAGGGGGUACAGCCCCUUUGAACCAGGACACAACCUGACCAGGAGGUUAAGAGUCAUAUUCAAUAAGAUCGACCGCUUUAGUGGGCCUAGAAGCAGCCAUCCACCUAGAAAGCGUUAAAGCUCAAGCGGACUCAAAAUCUAUUAUUCUGAUAUAUUUCCUCUAAACCCCUACCAGCAUUAGGCCACUCCAUGUCCACAUGGAGGAGAUACUGCUAAAAUGAGUAACAAGAAGGUAUCCCCUUCUCCUUGCCCACGCAUAAAUUAGAUCGGACCCACCACUAAUAAUUAACGAACCCAACUAAAGAGGGAAAAGUGGUUACAAAUUAAAACCAGGAAAACCCCACACCAACCAAUCGUUAACCCUACACCGGAGGGCUUUAAGGAAAGAUUAAAAGAAAAAGAAGGAACUCGGCAAACACAAGCCUCGCCUGUUUACCAAAAACAUCGCCUCCUGCAAAAAUCAAUGUAUAGGAGGUCCUGCCUGCCCAGUGACUAAAUUAAACGGCCGCGGUAUUUUGACCGUGCAAAGGUAGCGCAAUCACUUGUUUUUUAAAUAAAGACCUGUAUGAAUGGUGAAACGAGGGCUUAACUGUCUCCUUUUUCUGAUCAGUGAAAUUGAUCUACCCGUGCAGAAGCGGGUAUAAAAAUACAAGACGAGAAGACCCUAUGGAGCUUAAGACAAAAAAUCAACUAUGUUAAAAACCCCUAUUAAGGGAACAAAACAAAACAGCAACUGAUUAGCGUCUUCGGUUGGGGCGACUACGGGGGAAAACCAAUCCCCCACGUGGAGUAGAACACAAUUCUAAAACCAUGAGGUACACCUCUAAGUCACAGAACUUCUGACCAAAUGAUCCGGCAACCAGCCGAUCAACGAACCAAGUUACCCUAGGGAUAACAGCGCAAUCCCCUCCAAGAGUCCAUAUCGACAAGGGGGUUUACGACCUCGAUGUUGGAUCAGGACAUCCUAAUGGUGCAGCCGCUAUUAAGGGUUCGUUUGUUCAACGAUUAAAGUCCUACGUGAUCUGUGUUCACACCAUAAAAAUCCUACGUGAUCUGAGUUCAGACCGGAGCAAUCCAGGUCAGUUUCUAUCUGUACUGCUAUCUCUCCUAGUACGAAAGGACCGGAGACAUGAGGCCCCUGCUACAGACACGCCCCACUUUUACUCAAUGAAGCCAACUCAAUUAAGUAAAAAAGAGCAUAAUACCCCAAAAGAUAUUUGG